AAGUGAUACUAAAAUAGGUGAUAUAAUAGAUAAUGAAGAUGGUUAUUAAGAAUUACAGCAGGAUCUUGAUCAGCUGGGCAAGUGGGCCGAGGAAUGGCUCAGGGAGUUUAUUUCAGAUAAGGUUGAAGUCUUGCAUUUUGGGAAAUCAAACCAGGGCAGGACCUUCACAUUGAAU